rnacentral:rRNA from 1 species
GACGAACGCUGGCGGCGGGCUUAACACAUGCAAGUCGAAGGGAAAGGCGGUGCUUUUGUGGUAUGCUCGAGUGGCGAACGGGUGAGUAACACGUGAGUAACCUGCACUUGACUUUGGGAUAACGUCAAGAAACUGGGGCAAAGACCGGAUAGGAGCUCCUGCUGCAUUGUGGGGGCUGGGAAGGUGCGGCGGUAGUGGAUGGGCUGGCGGCAUAUCAGCUUGUUGGUGGGGUAGCGGCUUACCAAGGCGAUGACGGGUAGGGGGACUGAGAGGGUGACCCCCCACAGUGGGACUGGGACCCGGACCAGAGUCCUACGGGAGGCAGCAGUGCGGAAGAUUGGUCUAUGGGCGAGAGCCUGAUCCAGCCAAGUCGCGUGAAGGAUGACUGUCUGAUGGAUUGUAAACUUCUUUUGUUGGGGAACAUAGAGGUGCACGUGUGCCCCAGUGAAGGUACUCUACGAAUAAGCAUCGGCUAACUCCGUG